GCCAUGCCAUAUCACCCUGCAGCCCAAGACUGGUUGCCCACUGAAGCUAAGCAGGGUUGAGCCUGGUCAGUACCUGGAUGGGAGACCUCCUGGGAAAACUAGGUUGCUGUUGGAA
rnacentral:rRNA from 1 species